ensembl:lncRNA
GAGUACAGGGGGUUGGGGGGAAAAGAAGGGUGUGGUGUGGGUCCAAAUUGUGGGUAGAGCCUAUUCUAAAUUUAGCUGCUCACACCAAUUCUUAAAAAUGAGGUCUGCUGUGGUUGUUGUUCAGUGUAUCAGGUCUGUUGUGUGGAAUUCAUCAUGUGGUAUCUCCAAGAGAAAUGGGCCAUGUGUGGUGAUGUAACCGUUAAUGACUUUGAGGUUCCGUUUUCGAUCUGGUGAAAGGAGGUGUGAGUGGUUAAUAAUGGGGAUGUAAAUAAUUGCAUUAGGGAAAAAGUGACUCUUGCUUCCUUGUGCAUUGAUGCAUUCUGUUUGAUGUUUUGUAUGGGUCAUUAUCCAUAUUGUUUAUGCCCACCGAGAGAACCACUAUGCAUGCUGGUGUCUAAAUGAACCUCUGUUUUCUCCAGGACCUUUUUGAAAUGGUAAAAUGUUGCUCCAGGGUAACUCUCCACUUGUAUGGGUUAUGGGUUAUGAAAUGGAGGGAUUCUAUUAACAUUUGAGUCUCCCAAGACUAGUAUUGGUUUAUUUCCCUUAAAAUUCCAAUCUGCCACCUUGCCAUUUGGUGUAAUACUUAAAGGCCCGUAGAUGUCCUCCUAGGAUCAUAAAUUAAACUGAGGUAAGCUCCAAGUUGCCUCUUUUUCUGGGUGGCAGUGCAGAAGUCGAUGUGGUGAGAGAUUCAUUCAACCAUAGUGUUGUUAAAUAUGAACAUAAACGCCAUAUUGUGCAUUUAAAUGGUUUCAUUGUUUUGUUAAAGGAAAGGAAAAACCUAAAAGAGGAAGUGCCAAACUAAAACCAAACAAACCAUAAAUAUAUAGAGUAGAAAUAAAUUAUGAAUAAAACCAUGUUCUUCUCCAUCCAUUUUCCUGUCUGUUAAAACCCAUUUUCUAAUACAGGCCAUUUGGUGUUAUUGUCUGUAGGUUCUGGAUCCACUCCCGUGCUGCCCACAGGUCCAGAGGCCCACAGGUCCAGCCUAUAUGUGACUGUAACCCUGAUAUGGUUCUGGAUCCACUCCCGUGCUGCCCACAGGUCCAGAGGCCCACAGGUCCAGCCUAUAUGUGACUGUAACCCUGAUAUGGUUCUGGAUCCACUCCCGUGCUGCCCACAGGUCCAGAGGCCCACAGGUCCAGCCUAUAUGUGACUGUAACCCUGAUAUGGUAAGGUGAGUGAUGGGGUGCUCCUGGAAGUGGGUUAUGAGUAAAUUGUAGG